CCGGCGACCGGCGCACGGUGAGUAACACGUAUGCAACCUGCCCUCUUCAGGGGGACAACCUUCCGAAAGGGAGGCUAAUCCCGCGUAUAUCGGUUUCGGGCAUCCGAGAUCGAGGAAAGAUUCAUCGGAAGAGGAUGGGCAUGCGGCGCAUUAGCUAGACGGCGGGGUAACGGCCCACCGUGGCGACGAUGCGUAGGGGUUCUGAGAGGAAGGUCCCCCCACACUGGUACUGAGACACGGACCAGACUCCUACGGAAGGCAGCAG
rnacentral:rRNA from 1 species